CUAGAGAUAGAAAGUUACUUCGGUGCAUCGGUGACAGGUGGUGUAUGGUUGUCGUCAGCUCGUGUCGUGAGAUGUUGGGUUAAGUCCCGCAACGAGCGCAACCCCUAUUGUUAGUUGCCAUCAUCCAGUUGGGCACUCUAGCGAGACUGCCGGUAAUAAACCGGAGGAAGGUGGGAUGACGUCAAAUCAUCAUGCCCCUUAUGACCUGGGCUACACACGUGCUACAAUGGUUGGUACAACGAGUUGCGAGUCGGUGACGGCGAGCUAAUCUCUUAAAGCCAAUCUCAGUUCGGAUUGUAGGCUGCAACUCGCCUACAUGAAGUCGGAAUCGCUAGUAAUCGCGGAUCAGCACGCCGCGGUGAAUACGUUCCCGGGCCUU
rnacentral:rRNA from 1 species